rnacentral:rRNA from 1 species
UACGUAGGGUGCAAGCGUUAAUCGGAAUUACUGGGCGUAAAGCGUGCGCAGGCGGUUUUGUAAGUCUGUCGUGAAAUCCCCGGGCUCAACCUGGGAAUUGCGAUGGAGACUGCAAGGCUAGAAUCUGGCAGAGGGGGGGUAGAAUUCCACGUGUAGCAGUGAAAUGCGUAGAGAUGUGGAGGAACACCGAUGGCGAAGGCAGCCCCCCUGGGUCAAGAUUGACGCUCAUGCACGAAAGCGUGGGGAGCAAACGAGGAUUAGAAACCCGUAGUAAGAUCCAUACCCAA